GUGAAUCAUCGAAUUUUUGAACGCAAAUUGCACUCUCCUCUGAGAGGAUGCCUGUUUCAGGUUCAGCCUAUAAAAAAACGACAUCGUUGCUGUUUCGCGGUGGCGCUCGUCGGAAAUUGGGUCAUCUUAAAUUUAUUGGUUUUAAGCGACUUAAAAUUUUCUUUUUCGUUCCAUGAUUGAUUUUAAGUUUUAUUUCGUUACACGUUUAGGGUAUCGAUU
rnacentral:misc_RNA from 1 species